GGUGCUGGAUCUUUCUUAAUCACUGCUGCAAUCUUUGAUCUUUGGUGGUGAUGAUUGAGUGCAUUGCUGAGCUGCUCCUAUUGUAAUUAUUUUCAAAUAAUUAUGUGCUUUACUUUUGUAAUUUUUGCAGAUUUACCUUAUAUAAAUGACACAAUUCCUUCAGUUGGUGUCUGUGUCUUUGGUGCUGACCCUGCCCAUUGGCAAAACUGACCCUGUGGGCUCCACAGAACCAAGGGGCCAUUGUGACACUGCAGGGCCUUGUGUGACCAGGGGACCAUGGUGACCCUGUGGGGUUUAAUGGAACCAAGGGGCCAUUGUGACACUGGGGGCCUCAUAGAGUCACAGAGACCAUUCUGACACUGUGGGGACUUGUGGGGACAAGGGUCCAUUAUUUUCCUCUCCCUGGCACUGCCCAGUUCAGCCUUUCCCUGCCCCUGCCCCAGCCCAGCAGAGCAGCAGAGUCAGGUCUGGCCCUGCAGCAGGAACUGGCGGCACUGGAGAUGAUCAAUUGUCUACACCAGGUGAGCUGACACCUGGAGCUUGUUCUCCAAAAUCCCAGGCCUAUGGAAACCAUAUAAUGCCCAUUGUGUGAGGAGGGGAACUGGAAGCUCACCAGCCUCAGUGUCCUGCCAGCUCAGCCAGGCCCACUGGAACAUUGGGGUCCACAACCACCAGGGACCACCAGAGAGACCCCCAGGAGAGUAGGGGAGGGGAAAUACGUAAGUGAUUUUGGGAAAAUUAUUAUCAGAUGUAUAUUUAGUCUGGGACAAUCAAUGAAUAUCUAUGCAAAAUACAGUAUAUAAAAAAGAAACUUUCCUGUACUCAGCAUGCACGGCUUUGGGAGAAACCAUUCCCAGUGCAUCCAGCUGAAUAAAGAAUGCUGCUUCUCAAUGCUA